AUUGAACGCUGGCGGCAGGCCUAACACAUGCAAGUCGAACGAGUGGCGGACGGGUGAGUACUGUCUGGGAAACUGCCUGAUGGAGGGGGAUAACUACUGGAAACGGUAGCUAAUACCGCAUACCAUCAGAUGUGCCCAGAUGGGAUUAGCUAGUUGUUGGGGUAACGGCUAACCAAGGCGACGACCCCGAGCUGGUCUGAGAGGAAGACCAGCCACACUGGAACGGAGACACGGUCCAGACUCCUAGGGGAGGCAGAAGAGGGGAAUAUUGCACAAUGGGGGCAAGCCUGAUGCAGCCAUGCCGCGUGUAUGAAGAAGGCCUUCGGGUUGUAAAGUACUUUCAGCGGGGAGGCGUUACCCGCAGAAGAAGCACCGGCUAACUCCGUGCCAGCAGCCGCGGUAAUUC
rnacentral:rRNA from 1 species